AUCGUUCAUCUCUACAUUGCCAUAAACAAAGACAAUUAAGAGACGGAAGUAGGCUGUGAAUAAGUUGCCGAAGGAACGCUUU
rnacentral:ncRNA from 20 species